rnacentral:lncRNA from 1 species
GAACUUGCUUGACCGCUUUCGGUAUCGGAAUGUUUUGGAUUGCUCUAAUCUUUUCAGGGUCGGUCUUAAGUAUACCGCCACCAACGAUAUACCCCAGGUGGAUACCUCGCUUAGGAUUUGGAGGUGCGAAUCAAAAUCUGGCGCAAUGAUCAGCAAAUCAUCAAGAUAUAUGAAAACGUUUCCUUUAAGUUUCUGAGGAAUUACGCGGUCCAUUAAUCGGCACAAACGCUGCGCGGCGUUGCAUAAACCGAACGGCAUUGUUACAAACUGAUACAGGGGCCGUCCAGGUACCGUGAACGCAGUGUAUGGUUUGCAUUUGUCCUCCAACUCAAUCUGCCAAAAGGCGAAUUUAAGAUCAACACUGCUUAUAAAGUGGGUGUCGUCGAGGCGGCUGAGUAUGCCUUCGAUGUUCUGCAGCGGGUAGGCGUCGUUCACGGUUACAGCAUUCAGUUUGCGCGCGUCAAGGCAGAAGCGAUUUUUACCCGGUUUACGAACAAUUGUCGUGCGGUUACUCCACGGGCUCUCGCUUUCCUCGAUCACACCUAAUUCCAACAUUUUAUCUACUUCUUCGUAAACGAUCGCUUGCAUUGCCGGGGUCAAAGGGUAGUGGCGGUCUUUUAUUGGCACCGCCUCGUCGACCAGCUUGAUGGAAUGCUUUUCAAGGUGAGUGCGUCCUAACCCGUGUUCUUCAUAAGUUUUGAAGCCGCUGACCACCUGCUGUAGACGUUGUUUUUGUUCCGCCGAAAGAAUAUGCAGGACAUGCCGCUCGUUCUUAUCCUCUUCGGACACCAAAUCCCGCUCUAAUUUGCUGAAGUUGAUUUCAUCUAUUGAUAUCAGAUCUGGAGCUAACUGGAAUGCGCGCCAGAAGUCCACCCCUAAGUAGAUAUUUUGUUCAAGGUGAGGGCAUAAAAAAAAAGUUAUAUUUUGUUCUAAAUCUUUGUACUUUACAGGUAAGGUGAGUUUGCCUAACACAUUGUGUGAGCGUCCUCCAGCCGUUUUUACACUCGAAACGUACCGUUCAAUUGAGGCGUCUAGUUCUUCUAUGAACUCCCUACAGCCACGGCCCAGAAUGCUUACCGAUGCGCCAGUAUCUAACAAUCCGCGUGUACGAAUUCCCUGAAUUUCGAUGUCGGCAUAAACGCGGGGAUCCGCUUGAUCUGCGCUCUUUACCGACGACACAACCUUUCGGCGUAGCAGCUUACGUUGUCGAAACCUAUCACGCGCCUUUUGAACUUUCCGCGGAACCCUUCGGCGUCCCAUCAAGGCGCUGUCGGCGAAAAUGCGUUGGCGUGCUUCCAAAUACUUCCUCAUUCUUUCUUCGUAGGAUGGCAUACUCACGGUAGUUUUGCGUCGCGACUUAGCCCGUCGGCUGUUGGUGUGUUGGUCGAGGCAUCUACUGGUGCGGGGUUUGUGUGGAGCGCGAUUCCCCCGUCGUAAUGGCGUUCCGUAAGGCGUUUCCCGCUGGGUUGCAUACCGGACAUUUCGGUGUUAUGACAUCUAACUUCCCACAUUUGAAGCAAAAUAUUCGGCGCUGCAUGGACAUGCAAUCGGUGAAGAAAUGGCCUUCCACACCACAAUUCCAACACGAUACCUUGCUGCGCCCAGCUGGCUGUCUAGCCGCGCGUUGGUGGCGUAUUUCCUCCACGGUGACUUGACCCUCAUCACCGGGAGAGAAAUGUUCUUCGUCUUCGAUCGACAUGAUUUCAUUGACGUGUUGUGAGCGUGGAACAAAGCCACUUGUUAGCGUGCGAUCCCUACGCGGAAAACACCGUUCCACUUCCUUACAUUCCAACCGUAGCUGCUCGAGUGAAUACGCGGCAAUGGGAUAUACUAUCUUAGCCAACGAUUCGCGCAAAUUCCCUUUCACUAAUCGGAUAAUCUCGUACUCCGGAAUUGGAUUUCUAAGUCGCGAGCGCAAUGUACCCACCACGUGAAAAUACUCCUCUAUGGAUUCACCAGGUCUUUGCUUCCGCUCCGUCAAUUCCCUCAGAAGCUCGAAGUCGGUGUGUUGUGAUGCGAAUUGGCGUCGAAGUGCGAAUUGCAAGCUAGGCCAAUCCACUUUACCAUGCGACUUAAUAUAGAGCCAAUACCAUUCACGCGCCUCCCCACUCAACAGCCUAUGGAAGUCGCGUAGAAUUUCUCCCCAUGAACACGCAUAUUGUUCCUUCAGAUAUUCUAACCGAAACAGAAAAUCUUCAACUGACAUUGAACCUCGGUUACCUUGAUAAUUUAUCCCCCAUUUUUCUAUGUUAAUAUCCGAUCGACUAUCAUCUUUAUAAUUUUCUUUUACAGACCUAGGACGACCGCUUCCAGAGGGAACUGCCGCGAUUGCUGCAUCUAGUGUUGGUGGUUGGCGAACUGGUGGUGGAUCGUGGUAAGCCAGUGCAUAUGUAGCUGAAUGUGACCUUGCAACGUAGUUGUUUCUGUUUGCGGCUUCUGCGGUGUUAUUACUAACCUUAUCACUCCUAGGUGCGACGCUAUCUGAACGUCUCGACUCCAAGGAUUCGAUGCUGGUAUUGUGUUUCCUCUUUUUGCUCAUUCGGUUGCGCGCCCUAUUAUCGAAACCUGACGCGCCUGCCCGUGCACCUGGGCCUCGUGCUGUUCUAAUUAGCUCCUGCAUAUUCUCGCGCAUUUCGCUCAUCAGGCACUUUUGUGCUUCCGCAACCAUUUCUUUUAGAACCGGUGCUAUUUCAUCUCGGAUAUCACGAGCCUUGGUUGAAUUGCUUAUGGGAAGCCGGUUGGUCCCGCCGUAAGUAGUUGGAGGAGGGUGGGGAAAAGUCCAGGGGAGUGGUUGUGGUAGCGUUAAGGUUAUUGAUUGGGACUCAGUCUGUUUGGGAACCGCCCCGGUGUUUUUAGUUGCACCUGAUGCAUUGUUUGCAACUUCCUGCACUGAGUCACUACCAGUUGACCUAGCGUUAUUAUUGCCCCCUAUGCGAUCUGAUAGGUCUAUGAAGGCAGGGUCGUUUGUGCUUUGCUCCUUUUGUGGAGGCACGUUCCCUGGUGGAUGCAUAUUAGCUUUUUUUGUGUUCGCUCGGGUAUUGUAAGCAAUUUGAGUGCGUGUCAUUCAAAUAUAUGUACAAAUAUAUAAAAAAAUAUUAUUUACGACGAAGAGAAUUAAAAAUUAUUCUUGGAUCGAUAUUGACUUAUGCGAUUUCAUAAAAACGGGGGAGGGCUAGAUGACGUUCCGGGGUUGAGGAUCGGUUGACCAAAUCCUUUUCGGGGAGUGAUUGGAGCGCUGAUCGUCGUUCCUGCGAGCAACAAUAUGCCAGUUCGGUGCAAAUAAUAAAAAAAUCUAAGUUAAGAAAUAUUCAGAAUCAAUAUGGUUAUGCAUCGUUACUGAGAGUUAGUUGCGGUCAUAACGUACUUUUAAACUUCAAAGCAGCUUAAUUACUUCAUGCACCUAUUAGGACUUUGAAUAAAAGCAAAAAAAAUUUACAUCCUGAAACUACUUUCCAAACAAAAAAAAUACAAAGAACCAUACAAAAAAUGCAUUGUGGAUGGAGAUGCAAAUAGUUUGGACUAUUCAUAUCCAGCUAUGCCAUCUUAGGGUUAUUGCCGGGGUCUGGUCAUCCCACAACCCUCUUAAUACAGAUGCGGUUGAACUUGCGCACUAAUGCUGAAAGCAAGCCAUCUCUUUAGGAGGAGAAUGCAGUCCAACCGGACCCUUUUAUUCGAACGAUAUAACAAAAAAAAUACUUUUAUAGGCUGAAAUAAAUUUAUAUACGAACUUUGUAUGCAUGUACAUAUGUAUGUGUACCUAUGUUCGAUAUGCGUUUUCAUUGCGCUGCUUAGGGCGAGGCCCACAGCGUUAUUUCCCAAAAUACUUAAAUUCGCAGACGCCAAUUUCAACCUAUGGCGCUAGUGUUAUUUCCGGUGGUUUUUGUUUGGGCGCCAUUUUAUCUUUGUCGCGUACACGUGUCGCCCAUUUUCAGACCACCAUUGUG